UUAUGGACUAAAUUCCCCGUUUGACUUAAGCAUCGAAGGGGCAAUGAGAAGUGUUCUCGUUGCCUUUGUUGCGGGUAUCAGAAGACUGUACGUGUUCUGUAGAAAUUGGUUCAAAUAAUUAACCAAAAAUUGGAAAAUGAAAAGGUGUGUAAAAGUGAAAAAUGAAAACGUGUGACUAUGUGUCAACUUCGACCAAAUAUUCGGAUUUGAUCCAAUGGUCAAAUUACAAAAGUAAAUAGACCAACUUAUUUUACUCGUUGAGUAGAUUGUCGUGGUAUAUUUGGAAUCUCGAAACCAAUUCCGGAUGAAUGAGAAAUUGCGGACCAAAGUUGAAAGAAAUGAAGUGUUGCAACUUUUCGAAAGGAUGCAGGUUUUGGCCUAGUGUUGUAACUUUUCGAAAGGAUGCAUGUUUUGGCUCACACUAUUUUAUUUGCGCCCUUUCUGCAUCUAUAAAUAGGACCCUAUGGACAUGAUUUUGGGUACACCAAUUGCAUUGAGCAUUCAUUCUCCUCUUGCAAUUCACUCCUUUCUAAUUCCAUAGCACUUUCAUACAUUUCCUUUGUAGAGCGAAAAUUCUGUCAAAAGUUCAUUAGUUUCUUAUGGUUUGAAGUACUGCUACCACAAGUUGUGAAGCUAUUGUAUCUUGGGAGACAAUUUUCGUUCACCGUGAGUACCGUAGCGGGGCAAUUUGUCUUAAGGAAAGAGACAAGUUCUCGCAUUGGAUUAUUCUCUAUUUCUACUCCUUCUUAAUCCUUGUUUUGCGUAAUCGUUAUAUCGAAACUCUAUCCAAAUUUUCAUUCAUAUAAAUUGUGUUUUAAUCACGCUCUUGUGGGUUAAAACUGGUCAAACAAAUAUAUAAAAAAUCAACCCUUACAUAACCCUUUUUAUAAGUCGUCUCCAACAAAUUUAAGAUAAAUUUUUUGUGUCUUUGUGGUUGGUUGUGGACAACCAUUACUUUGUUUGAAUAAUGUUUUGUGUACUAUUCCUCCACCGAUAUUAUCGUCAUUUUGUUGAACUUUUGUUUGUGUCACAGAAAUGACAACCAUUAGGACUUUGUCAAGUCAAAAUGGAUCCAAUAAUGUAGUACCACCCGUGGUCAUACCGUUGCAUAAUAUUACUAUCCCACAUGAGGAAAAAGUUGAAAAAAUUUGUAGGAAUAGACUUCAAGAGAUGGCAACAAAAGAUGUGGUUUUAUCUCACCGCUCUUAAUUUGGCUAAAUUUCUAAAGGAAACUGCACCGACUGUACAAGAAGGGAAAAAUAAUCGUGAAUCGAUUAUUGUUUUGGAUGCAUGGAAACACUCGGACUUCCUAUGCAAGAACUAUAUCCUAAACAGAUUGGAUAAUACACUAUAUGAGGUGUAUAGUUCAAAGGAAUCAGCCCAGGAACUAUGAGAUUCUUUGGAGAGAAAGUACAAGACCGAGGAUGCCGGAACAAAGAAGUUCAUUUUCGACAAAUUUUUGGACUACAAGAUGGUAGAUUCCAAAAUCUUGAUUAGCCAGGUGUAAGAGAUUUAAGUCUUGUUGCAUGACAUCCAUGCCAAUAAAAUAGAAUUGAGUGAAUCAUUCCAAGUGGUUGUCAUUAUUGAGAAACUCCCUCUUGUGUGGAGAGAUUUCAAAAAUUACCUUAAGCACAAAUACAAGGAAAUGAAUUUGGAAGAAUUGAUUGUGCGCUUGAGGAUUGAAAAGGACAAUUGAAAAAUCGAACGAAGGCCGGUUGAUCAAGAUGGUGCAAAUUUUGUUGAAAUGGAACCAAAGACAAGAAACAAGAAACGAAAGGCUCGUAAUUAUGCACCGCGAAGAGACAAUUCCAAGAAGGCUAAGAAGUUCAAAGGAAAUUGUUACAACUGUGGCAAGGCUGGACAUCAUUCAAGUGAAUGUCAAAAGUCAAAGAAGAAUGCUCAAACCCACAUGGUUGCAAAUAACACUUUAUCCGGUGGACUGCAAGAAAUGAGUUUAUCUGUAGUAGUGUCCGAAUGCAACAUGAUUGGAAAUACUAGAGAAUGGUGAAUUGACACCGGCGCUACCCGUCAUAUGUGUGCGGACAAGACGAUAUUCUCCAACUAUCAAAGAUUUGAAUGGGGAACAACUAUAGAUGGAAAAUUCUGCAAGUUCCAAAGUUGAAGGACAAUGCAAAGUCACUUUGAAGAUGACAUCCGGGAAAGAACUCGUUAUCAACAAUGUCCUACAUAUGCUGGAUAUACGAAAGAAUUUAGUGUCCGGGUCUCUACUUAGCAAGAAUGAUUUUAAACUUAUAUUUGUAUCCGAUAAAUUUGUGUUGUCUAAGAAUGAGAUAUAUGUAGGGAAAUGAUACAUGUGUGAUGGAAUGUUCAAGUUGAACGUUCUUACAAUUGUAUCGAAGUAAGUCG
rnacentral:lncRNA from 1 species